rnacentral:tRNA from 1 species
GGAACGGUAGUUCAGUUGGUUAGGACUAUUUGUAAACAUGGGCGGCCUGUCACGCCCUUGGUCGCGGGUUCGAGUCCCGUUAGCUCAG